UCCGGAAUGACUCUCGGCAACGGAUAUCUCGGCUCUCGCAUCGAUGAARAACGUAGCGAAAUGCGAUACUUGGUGUGAAUUGCAGAAUCCCGUGAACCAUCGAGUCUUUGAACGCAAGUUGCGCCCGACGCCUUCGGGCCGAGGGCACGUCUGCCUGGGCGUCACGCACCGUCGCGC
rnacentral:rRNA from 1 species